rnacentral:rRNA from 1 species
GAUGAACGCUGGCGGCGUGCCUAAUACAUGCAAGUCGAGCGAAUGGAUUAAGAGCUUGCUCUUAUGAAGUUAGCGGCGGACGGGUGAGUAACACGUGGGUAACCUGCCCAUAAGACUGGGAUAACUCCGGGAAACCGGGGCUAAUACCGGAUAACAUUUUGAACCGCAUGGUUCGAAAUUGAAAGGCGGCUUCGGCUGUCACUUAUGGAUGGACCCGCGUCGCAUUAGCUAGUUGGUGAGGUAACGGCUCACGAAGGCAACGAUGCGUAGCCGACCUGAGAGGGUGAACGGCAAGACUGGGACUGAGACACGGACCAGACUCCUAAGGGAGGGAGCAGUAGGGAAUCUUCCGCAAUGGACGAAAGUCUGACGGAGCAACGCCGCGUGAGUGAUGAAGGCUUUCGGGUCGUAAAACGCUGUUGUUAGGGAAGAACAAGUGCUAGUUGAAUAAGCUGGCACCUUGACGGUACCUAACCAGAAAGCCACGGCUAACUACGUGCCAGCCGCCGCAGUAA